CUUUUGAAAAACCUGUUAGGCUUCUCUGACUGUUAACAGGUUGCAUCUACGAUCUUUUCCGAGUGUUUAAACGCCGCACAGACCCCGCCUCUCAUUCCUGUCCUCUCGUUAAUAAUUAAGAGUUUCGGUGCCCGUAGGUGUCAACGGCGAAGUUUAACUCUCAGUCCAGUAGUCAGGUCGACGGCCCUGCGAGCAGGUCUCUCUGCUCUCCUCUCUGUGUUCAGUUUUCGGUUCAGGUGGACGCUCUGCAUCUCCACUGUCAGUAUGUCUCCGUCCACGUCCCCCCGGGUCUUCAUGGAGAGGGAGGUGGCCCGCCACUGCACCAAGGACUCCUGCUGGGUGCUGCUGGGGACCAGGGUAUACGAUGUGACCUCUUUCUUGCGGAUGCACCCCGGCGGGGAGGCGCUCAUACUUCGACGGUCAGGCAAGGACGUGAGCCGGGAGAUGGAAGGACCCCCACACCGGCACUCGGAGAACGCCCGGCGGUGGAUGGAGCAGUACUAUAUCGGGGAGCUGGACAGAGACAGCGGCACCGACAAAGCACAGACUCUGAAAGAGAGGAGGAAGGCCAGUGAGCAGACAGAAGAAAAGAUGGCAGAAAAGAUGACAGACAAGAAGGUGAAAGAGGAGGAUGUGAAUGCCGCGUACAACCGCUGCAGCCCUGUGGACCUGGACAAGGAUUUGGUGGACUGGCGGAAGCCCCUGGCAUGGCAGGUGGGCCACCUCAGAGAGAAAUAUGAUGCGUGGGUUCACCAGCCAGUCGACAGACCAAUCAGACUGUUUGGAAACCCCUUCCUGGAGGCCAGCACCAAGACUUCAUGGUACUGGGUGCCAGUGGUGUGGCUUCCUGUUGUGUUUUAUUUCAGUUGGCACUGCUACACCACCCUGGCUAAGGGCACCACCAGGCUAGAACUCACUUCAGACUUCUCUAUCCCAAUCCAUGAGCACAUUUUCCCACUGCUCUUUUUGUUGGGCUGGUUCUUGUGGUCAUUGAUCGAGUACUGCAUCCAUCGCUUUGUCUUUCACAUGAAACCCCCAGCUCAUAACUACUACCUCAUCACUCUGCACUUCCUCCUGCAUGGACAGCACCACAAGUCUCCGUUUGACGGCUCUCGGCUGGUCUUCCCCCCCGGCCUGGCCUCCUUAAUGGUGGGAAGUUUAUAUCUGUUCCUCUGCAGCACACUACCAGUCAUCCUCGGGACAUCGGUGUUUGUCGGAGGACUGUGUGGCUACGUGGUAUAUGAUAUGAUCCACUACUACCUUCACUAUGGCUCACCAAAAAGAGGCUCGUAUAUGUACAACCUGAAGGCCUACCACGUCAAACACCACUUUGAGCACCAGAGAGCAGGUUUUGGAAUCACCACCAAGUUCUGGGACCACCCCUUCAACACAGUCAUCCCCGAUGAGAAAUUCUAACGCAGAAAUGGCUCUCCUGUAGGGCCGUAGGACUUAUCAACCCUCCUGAGCAACCAGCCCACAUCCUAUAAGCGGGAAACAACAAAGGAGGCGGCUCCACUUCUGCGGACUCCUUGGCCACUGCAACUAAUCCAUACAUCCAUACUAUAUCACAUAUCAUCCUGCUUUUUUAUUCCAGCCAGCAACACAUUUUUUGCUUUUUGCGUAUUCGUGGACCACUCCGCACUGUUUCCUCACUGUGAUCAUUCAUGCACAGGUGUAAGGCCUUUCUGUGCCAUUCUUUAUAACCAAACCAACAUUUACUACUGCUGUGCUCCUCACUGCACUGACCUCACCAGCCAAAUCAUCACCCUAUAGCCAUUCACAACAUCAUAAUGUACAGCUAGGAGGUGUCAUCUAUAUAUUUUGAUUGUUGUGGUUAAAUUGAAUUUGAAGGAAUUGGAUGAUUCCUCUAUCGCUGUAGAAUACUGCAGAGCACAUUCAAAACUCUUCACACUGAAGAAACUCAAAAAAUACUCAAAAUACACGCUCUUUCACUGGUUCCUAAGAAUGCCAACAGCAUAACACAAAUAAAUGUAGACCCACAUUACCAAUGGAAAUAUAUAUACACACACACACACACACACACACACACACACACACACACACACACACACUGUCGUAGCUCCCUUCAGAGGACAGAGGGAAAAAGAAGUGAAAGAUAGUGGGUGAAUGUGGAAGACGGAUAAGGAAUCGGAUGGGACAGAGAGACAGAAAGUGUGUUAGAGAGUGUAUGUAGAGACUGAGUGAGAGAGAGCCCCCAAAAUAGUGAACCAACUCAGGAAAGAAACCUUUACCCUUCCUCCACACUAACUGCAGCUUGAACAUUCCUCAUCACUGCAUCUCUUUUUGCCGUCAAUCACUAAGCUACCCCGACGCGCUUGCUACACUCUAUUGCACUGCACGUUUGUAACAGUCAAGAGAAGUUCUCUCCACCAUGUUUGGCCUCACUGUAGUUUUUUAAACAACUGUGAACCGAUAACAUUUGGUUUCAGAUAGUUGAACAUGCUGCGAUUUAUUUGGCCAUUUAGAUUUCAUUUAUUAUAAGCAAAGCUGCAUAAGUGAAACUAUACUGUAGGGCACUACUAAUGCAAUGUACUGUUGAUGUCAUGUGAAGCAGAGCCUGAAAUGUGGAGAUAUAUUUUUGCGAGUCUUUUGUAAUAUUUCCUCCAUUUUCUUUUCUUUUCGUCAUUAAUGAUACAACAACGAUGUAGAAAAAAUAUU